rnacentral:rRNA from 1 species
GAUGAACGCUGGCGGCGUGCCUAAUACAUGCAAGUCGAGCGAAUGGAUUAAGAGCUUGCUCUUAUGAAGUUAGCGGCGGACGGGUGAGUAACACGUGGGUAACCUGCCCAUAAGACUGGGAUAACUCCGGGAAACCGGGGCUAAUACCGGAUAACAUUUUGAACCGCAUGGUUCGAAAUUGAAAGGCGGCUUCGGCUGUCACUUAUGGAUGGACCCGCGUCGCAUUAGCUAGUUGGUGAGGUAACGGCUCACCAAGGCAACGAUGCGUAGCCGACCUGAGAGGGUGAUCGGCCACACUGGGACUGAGACACGGCCCAGACUCCUACGGGAGGCAGCAGUAGGGAAUCUUCCGCAAUGGACGAAAGUCUGACGGAGCAACGCCGCGUGAGUGAUGAAGGCUUUCGGGUCGUAAAACUCUGUUGUUAGGGAAGAACAAGUGCUAGUUGAAUAAGCUG